GAUAAGAUGAAAAAGACCAAUCAGCUGACUGACAGCCACGAAGGACUUAUUUUUCCAUGGUGUAAUUAUCUAAAUUGAGUAAAUUAUUACAUAAAACAUUUUUCAAAGCUAUCCGUAGUGAUUUGUGUUUAAAUGUGUUACGCAUGUGAUACAAAUUAUAAUGGAUUUUGUUGACUACACGAGUUGCAGUUGCCGCUCGUAACGUUACAAGAAAAAUGGAAGAAGCAGAAAUCAUAACUAAACACGCGGAA